rnacentral:lncRNA from 1 species
UUAAGCAAUUAAGCACAAAACACAUAAUACUCAAAUAAUACAAUCUUAUUAUUUCAAAACGGGUUACAAAGGUUAACCUAGACUAUUACAUUGCUAAAAAUGGCAAGCCCGGAAACACAGGCGUUACAAUUCUCUCCACCUUAGAAUGAUUCCGUCCCCGGAAUCACACAUCAACAAACAAAUGCGGAUAGCGACUCAACAUGUCACUCUCCGUCUCCCAGGUGAGAUUCGGCCCAUUCGUGUGUUUCCAUCGGACAAGCACUAACCCAACCAUUUUGCGUCGCAACUUCUUAGUCUUUCGGUCAACAAUUGCCUCUGGUUCUUCAAUCAACCUUUUGUUCUCAUCAAUUCUCAAUUCAGAAAUUGGAAUUAUAUCGGGAACUUCUCCCGUGAACUUCCUCAAAUAACACACAUGAAAGGUGUUGUGAAUUCCAUUCAGUUCUUCGGGUAAUUCGAGCUUGUAAGCUUGAUUCCCAAUCCUCUGAAGGACUUUAAACGGUCCAAUAAACCUUGGACUCAACUUUCCCCUUUUACCAAAUCUUAUAAGUCCCUUCCACGGCGAGACUUUAAGCAAAACCGAAUCUCCAACCUCAAAAGUCAUCGGUCUUCGCUUCUUGUCAGCAUAGCUCUUUUGACGAUCUUGAGCUGCUAACAUUCUUUCCCUAAUUAUUUUCAACUUUUCAGCAGUUUGAUGAACCAUCUCCGGUCCCAUAAACUGCUUUUCCCCAGCCUCAAGCCAACAAGACGGCGUACGACACUUCUGUCCAUACAAAGCUUGAUAAGGUGCCAUCUUAAUGCUCGAGUGAAAACUAUUAUUAUAGGAAAAUUCUACCAACGGUAAAUGUUCAUCCCAAUUACCUAGGAAUUCCAAGGUACAUGCUCUCAGCAUAUCUUCAAGUGUUUGUAUUGUUCUUUCACUCUGACCAUCAGUCUGCGGAUGGUAAGCUGUGCUUAAACAUAACUUGGUACCCAUUUCCUCUUGUAGACUUUUCCAAAACCUUGAGGUGAAACGGCUAUCACGAUCCGAUACAAUCGUUAACGGAACACCGUGAAGCCUCACAAUUUCCUUCACGUAAGAAUUCGCAAGCUUUUCCAUAGACCAUUUCUCCCUGGCCGCUAUGAAAUGCGCACUCUUAGUGAAUCGAUCAACGACCACCCAAAUCAUGUCGUGACCAUUCUUUGUUCUGGGCAGUUUAGUGACAAAAUCCAUAGCAAUGUCUUCCCACUUACCCAUAGGCACAGGCAAUGGUUCUAAACUCCCGUAAGGUUUCUGAUGUUGUGUCUUGACUCUCGCACAAGUCACACACUCGGCCACAUACUUUGCAACAUCAAGCUUCAUCGUCGGCCACCAGUAGUAGGGUUUCAGGUCCCUAUACAUUUUAGUGCUACCCGGAUGAAUUGAGUACAUGGUUUUGUGAGCUUCUUCCAUCAGAAGAUCCCUAAUUCCUCCUGACUUAGGUACCCAAAUACGAUCUUGGAAUACCUUCAGUCCAUGACCGUUAGUACCAAACACCAACGUUUUACCCAAACGUUCCUCCUUUCGGUCAUUUUUCUCAGAAGCUUCCUCUUGAGCUUUCUUUAUACUUUCCACAAUAGUCGAGACAACUUCAAUUCUCAACGCUCUUGGCCUCUUCCUUUCAAGAUUGACUUUCCGACUGAGAGCAUCAGCAACAACAUUAGCUUUACCGGGGUGGUAAAGUAUCUCGCAGUCGUAGUCUUUAAGUAAUUCUAGCCAGCGUCGUUGCCUCAUAUUCAAUUCUUUCUGAUUAAAGAGGUAUUGGAGACUCUUAUGAUCAGUGAAAAGUUUGCACUUCGUGCCAUAGAGGUAAUGCCUCCAUAUUUUCAGAGCGAAAACUACCGCUGCCAACUCCAAAUCAUGAGUCGGGUAAUUCUUUUCAUGCUCUUUCAGCUGUCGAGACGCAUAUGCUAUCACCUUUUCUCUUUGGGUCAAAACACAACCCAAUCCAACACCAGACGCAUCGCUAUAAACAGCGAAGUCUUCAACUCCAUCGGGUAGAGAAAGUAUCGGUGCCUCGCAUAGCUUCUUCUUUAACUUCUCGAAUGCUUCUUUAUGCUUCUCACUCCAAGCAUAAGUAGCUCCUUUGUGGGUCAAAGCUGUUAAUGGAGUAGCAAUCGAAGAAAAGCCUUGGAUAAACCUUCGGUAAUAUCCGGCUAAUCCUAAAAAGCUUCGAAUCUCCGUGGGACUUUUCGGUUGUUCCCACUUCGUCACAGCUUCGAUCUUCGCUGGAUCAACCAUUAUCCCUUCUUGGUUGACCACGUGACCCAAGAAUUGGACCUCACGAAUCCAAAAAUCACAUUUGGAGAACUUCGCAUAAAGCUUCUCCUUCUUCAAAACUUCUAACACUUCUCGCAAGUGUCUGCCAUGCUCCUCCUGGCUUUUCGAGUAGAUCAGAAUGUCGUCUAUGAACACUAUCACGGAUUUAUCAAGGAAAGGAUUACAAACCCUAUUCAUCAAAUCCAUGAACGCUGCUGGAGCAUUGGUUAGUCCAAACGACAUAACCAAGAACUCGUAGUGUCCAUAUCUAGUUCUGAAUGCAGUCUUCUCGAUAUCUUGCUCUCUUACUUUCAGCUGAUGAUAUCCUGACCUAAGAUCGAUCUUCGAGAAAUAGCUCGAACCUUGCAAUUGAUCAAACAGGUCAUCAAUCCUCGGCAACGGAUAUCUAUUCUUUAUUGUUGCCUUGUUCAGCUCUCUGUAAUCGAUGCACAUUCUCAUACUUCCAUCUUUCUUCUUUACAAAUAACACCGGAGCUCCCCAGGGCGAUGAACUAGGUCUAAUGAAACCUUUGUCCAAUAACUCCUGAAGUUGCAUCAUCAGCUCCUUCAUCUCCGUCGGUGCUAAUCGAUAAGGUGCUUUUGCUAUUGGCGUGGUUCCUGGUAACAAGUCUAUUCUGAACUCCACUUGUCUAUCAGGUGGUAAUCCAGGAAGAUCCUCGGGAAAUACUUCCGGAUAAUCACACACCACUGGAAUGCUCUGCAUCACCUUCUUUUCUUUCUUAGCAUCAAUCACGAAUGCUAAAUAUGAUGUACAUCCCUUGGUCAAACACUUUCUGGCUUUCAUUAGAGAAAUGAUUCCAGAAUUCACUCUGCGUUUGUCCCCAUACACCAUAAACGAAUCUUUCCCAGGCGGGUUUACUUUAACUAUCUUCUUCUUGCACAAAAUUUCGGCAUCAUUGGCGCUAAGCCAAUCCAUUCCCAAGACGAUGUCGAAACCAUUUAGUUCGAUAGGCAAUAAUUCCUCGAGAAACUUAUUCCCAUUAAGGUCGAUCAAGACGUUUUUCAUACGAUGGCUAACAGGUACAAACUUGCCACUAGCUACUUCGACUAAUAAAGCAUUAUCUAGUCUAUCAACAGGCAAAGCUAGCUUUCUACCAAACUCAUGCGAAAUAAAGGAGUAGUUGGCUCCAGAAUCAAACAAUAUAUGAGCAGGUAAUUCGUUUACGAGAAAGGUACCUGAAGCGACAUCAGCUUCAUCUUUCGCAGCCUCAAGUGUCAUCUGGAAGGCUCUCGCCUUCGGCUUUGGUGGAAUGUUGGGCCUAGCUGCCUCCUUCUUCUUCGGACAGUCUUUCAAAAUAUGCCCCUCUUCAUUACACCCAAAACACAUCCUUUUGUUGUUCGGACAUUCAUUGGCAAAAUGUCCAACCUUUCCACACUUGUAGCAGGUCACAUCCUCGCUACAUUUCCCAAAGUGCUUUUUCUUACACUUAUCACACCACUUUGCUUCGCCUCCUUUUCCUCCAAACUUUUUCGAAUCAGAUUUCGAAAAUUUGCUCUUCUUACUGGAACCAGAUGUUCCUUCAAACUUCCUUUUCUCACCAACCUCAACCUUGACGGUGGUUCUCCCCUUGAUCAUGUUCUCCACAGACUUGGCAGCCCAGAUAGCUGCCUCUAGAGUAAGUGCCUGACGUACCGGCACCUCGUACUCCCAUGGAAGUCCCUUCGCAUACCGAUCCACCUUUGUCAGCUCGUCUGGAACGAUACGCAAGGCAAACUCCAUCUUAUCGGUGAAGUUAUUGGUGUACUCAUCCACUGACAUGCUACCCUUCGUCAAUGUCAAAAACUUGUUCUCCAACUCCAACAGAUUUUGAGCCGAGCAGAACUUGCGCUUGAACUGCACCAAGAACUCUGCCCAUGACAAUUGCAGUGGCUCAUUAGGGCUUAAGGUCUUCCCUAGAGUGUUCCACCAACGAACGGCUCCACCUCGGAAUUGUCGCACGGCAUAGAUAGUCUGCAACUUGCCUCUACAGCCACAUGUCAUAAAGGCUAACUCCAUUUCGGAGAUCCAAUCCAUAACCCCAAUCGGAUCCUCCUUUCCAUUGAAGGUCGAUGGUUUACAAGUCAAAAAGUCCUUGUACUUGCAUCCCAUUCCAUCAUUCCUUCCAUCAUGGUUAUCUUGCCUAACUAUCGGUGGGUUGGCUGGACCAACAGACCCACUGAAGUUUCCACCUUCCGAGUGCCCUUCAUUCAGUUCAGGCUCUUCCACACGAAUCGACAGUUCUUCACGAUUUUGUUGAAGCAACCGUCUAGUUUCAUCCAUCUGACGAUCCAACAUCGUCUGAAUCAUCAAUUGCACACCAGCCAUGGUUAUUGGCUCAGGUGCUGCUGCUACGACAGGUAUUGGCUCAAUCACUGGUGGUUGAUUCCUGUUUUCGUCAGCAUUUCCAACUCCACUUCUUGUUCUCACCAUUUUGAUCUACACCGAAUAAGGUGAAAUUAGAUCCUCAAUCAUGAUAGAUAUUCAAAUCAUCCUUAUCACUCCGAAACGUUUACAUGCUAGUUCUAAUAUCGUAGACGUACGCUUAGAAUCCUACACACAUAAGGUUUCUAGAUCCGGUCGGCAACAGACCAUAGAUCCGAACAAAUAAUAUCAUAUAUGGCAACAUAUAACAUUUAGCACAUAAAGCAUUUUAGGCAACUUUCCUAAAAUAAACUAGUGCUCGUGUCUAAAUCACAACAGACACACAUCUCAAAACUUCACUUAGCAUUCUAAGUUUAAGUCUAGAAAUCCUACAAAUUCCUAGUUCGCUUAAACUAAUGCUCUGAUACCAACUGUGACAUCCCCAAAAUCUCGGCCAGAAAAGACCGAUUUUCAUUUAUGCUUUUAAAUAUUUUCAGAGUAAAUCCUUUUGAUUUGAAAGAGUUGCGGAAUUUGUUCCCAAAAACAAAACAUGAUAAAACAUUGUUUACCGAAGCAUUUCAUAAAAGAAAUGUAUUUUCAUUAUAAUCAAAACUCGGGGUGUCAUGUUCCGAUACAGACCAAUAAGCAUAAACGAAUACAUUACAAGUCAUAUAACAAAUAUAAACAUAUGCAGACUUGUAAACAAAACAACUUGAUGGUUCAUCCAUCUCAUGCCCUUCCGCCACUACCUGUAAUACAAUUUAAAACUGAGUGGGUCAGGCUUGGGAGCCUGGUGAGCAUAUAGGGUUUUCAACCCACAAUAAAUAUCAUAUUUAAUUUUCACCAACCAACAAUAACCCAAUUACCCAUUCCCGUUAUUCUCACUUUAAUGUCCCUAAAACAACUAACAUAAGGGACCUAGUCUAAGAAUAUUUCAUCGGGGCGACAACACAUGCUUCGGGGGUACCUCAGCAAUAUAAGUCAAAUAAGGCAACCAUGAGGGGGAUGGAGUACAGCGAAUGAACACCCAAGUUCAUUAACACCUACAGGUGGCGAACCUGCUAAUGUUUCCACAAGACUGUCUAGAAUAGCCAGUGGUCGUCAUCUAAACUCCGCUAGAUGACUCAAUCAAACAACAACGAGGCCUCUCAUCUGUUUAUUACACACCAACUGUCUACCCAUGUUCUACCCAACAUAUUAGUAGAUAAAAAUAUACAUUUGUAUACAUAGUUUAAAGAAAACCUGUAUAGCAUGCUUUAAUCAACACAUAUAUCACAUAACAGAUGAGGCACACACACACAUAACACAUAUCUCAUAAAGAAAUAAGCAGAUCUAUAAGAUAGAAGAGAGUGAAUACUCAUUCACACAUAACACAACCAAAUAUAUACACAUAGCACGUAUUUUUAUAUAAAAUACUUCGUAUUAUUGUAUUAGAAGAAAUAACUACACACUCACUUGAUCAGAAGACGAUCCGACAGCACUACGGCUUAUAGAAGUAGUAAUCCACAGCAGAUCUGGAAGAUCUCCUCGAAAAUCGAACUUCUCGCGGGCAGAGCUUCGACUCGGGAACCGCACUUCUCGGGAUCUUCGGGAUCUCGGGACUUGCCUCGGGGCUAGAGUAUAAUACCGGGGCUUCGGGAUAGCUUCGGCACGAAAAACGAUGCAAAAGACUAGAGAGAAGAGAAGAAAAUGAACAACAAAGAAGGCUGUCUUCGGAUCCUUUAUAUAGAGGCUGGAGCCUCGGAGUACGCGGGGCGUACAGGCGUACGCAGCGCGUACGCGUCCGAAAUCGUCAUUGCAUGCGUCAUCCGAAGUGUCGACACUAUGCUGAGUACGCGGUAGCGUAACCUCGUACGCGGGGCGUACUCCGGAUCACACCGGUGACUCGGCUUCGGAUAAUGCUUCCGAUUUUGAAUUAAAAAUAAAUAUAAAAUGAUUAAUAAACUUCGGAAAUUCAUAACUUCUUCAUACGAACUCCGUUUUCGACGUUCUUUAUAUCCACGCGAAGGUGAGACCAUGCUCUACGACUUUCGUUUAGACUCCGUCGGCUAAUUUUGACUUUAUUUUUAUUAAUUAUUUUUAAUAGGCCGGGACAGAAACUUUCGUUAUAAAUUCAUAACUUCUUCGUUUGACGUCCGUUCUCGCCUAACUUUUUCUCGUUUCGAUACCAACAAUGAGAUCUUCGAUUCUCAUUUAGAUUGCUUCGGCUAAAAACCGCUCGAUCUCAAAUCGAGUAUUACAGGCUGUAUACCGCUAAGCCGGAACUUCGAUAAAUCAUAACUUCCUCAUACGAAGUCAGAUUUGGGCGUUCUAUAUAUAUUCGGAAACCUCGUUUCAAUUACUACAACAUUAACCAAAGAUAUUAAGUUUAUUUUACACUUAAAUUUUGACGCUUAUUUUUAUUCUUAAUUAAUCAAACCACAUAAUUAAGCAAUUAAGCACAAAACACAUAAUACUCAAAUAAUACACUUUUAUUAUUUCAAAACGGGUUACAAAGGUCAACCUAGACUAUUACAUUGCUACAAAUGGCAAGCCCGAAACACAGGCGUUACAAUUCUCUCCACCUUAGAAUGAUUCCGUCCCCGGAAUCAGACAUCAACAAACAAAUGCGGAUAGCGACUCAACAUGUCACCCUCCGUCUCCCAGGUGAGAUUCGGCCCAUUCGUGUGUUUCCAUCGGACAAGCACUAACCCAACCGUCUUG